GAAGCGUCCUCAUUAGAAAGGGAAAUUAAGUCCAACAGUUGGACGUUAAUACAUGAUCAAAGCUGGGCUCCAGCAACUUGGGGUAUUGGAAUUGAAAACUUUGCAAACUGCAGAAAGUUUACACCGCAGCAAAGCCAUUCUUCUCGCCUCUAGCAACACACAAGUAUGUGUGCAUGAUUGUUUGGGGACUUGGCAGCAAAGAGCAGUGGAAAUAAUUCUUUGGAAACGAAGAGAAUCAGCAAAACAUGAGGGAAAAAAAACAGACAAAAGAAGAGAGCAAACAGAACAAGAGAAAGACGUUUGGGGAUGGGUCGAUUUUCUCUGCCUCAUGCGGUUUUGGUGGCU
rnacentral:lncRNA from 1 species